UACGUAGGGUGCAAGCGUUAAUCGGAAUUACUGGGCGUAAAGCGUGCGCAGGCGGUGAUGUAAGACAGUUGUGAAAUCCCCGGGCUCGAACCUAGGAACUGCAUCUGUGACUGCUCGCUGGAGUAGCGGUCAGGAGGGGGAGUGGAAGUUCCGACCGUGUAGCAGUGAAAUGACGUAGAUAUGCGGAGGAACACCGAUGGCGAAGGCAAUCCCCUGGACCUGUACUGACGCUCAUGCACGAAAGCGUGGGGAGCAAACGAGG
rnacentral:rRNA from 1 species